CGGCGGACGGGUGAGUAACGCGUAGGAAUCUACCUGGUAGUGGGGGGACAACUUGUGGAAACGCAAGCUAAUACCGCAUACGCCCUAAGGGGGAAAGCGGGGGAUCUUCGGACCUCGCGCUAUUGGAUGAGCCUGCGUAAGAUUAGCUAGUUGGUGGGGUAAAAGCUCACCAAGGCGACGAUCUUUAGCUGGUCUGAGAGGAUGAUCAGCCACACUGGAACUGAGACACGGUCCAG
rnacentral:rRNA from 1 species